UACGGAAGGGGCAAGCGUUGUUCGGAAUCAUUGGGCGUAAAGGGCGCGUAGGUGGUUCUGUAUGUCUACCGUGAAAGCGUACGGCUCAACCGUAUUUUGUCGGUAGAAACUGCAGGACUUGAGGCUGGGAGGGGCUGGUGGAAUUCCCUGUGUAGGCGGGUGAAAUGCCGUAGAGAUGGGGGAAGAACACCCGUGGCGAAGGCGGCUGAUCUCGGACAGAGUCUGACGCUGAGGCGCGAAAGCUAGGGGAGCAAACAGG
rnacentral:rRNA from 1 species